rnacentral:rRNA from 1 species
AAAGAACGCUGGCGGCAGGCUUAACACAUGCAAGUCGAGCGCCCCGCAAGGGGAGCGGCAGACGGGUGAGUAACGCGUGGGAACGUACCCUUUGCUACGGAAUAGCGCCGGGAAACUGGAAUUAAUACCGUAUGUGCCAUCCGGGGGAAAGAUUUGUCGGCAUAGGAUCGGCCCGCGUUGGAUUAGCUAGUUGGUGGGGUAAUGGCCUACCAAGGCGACGAGCCAUAGCUGGUCUGAGAGGAUGAUCAGCCACAUUGGGACUGAGACACGGCCCAAACUCUUACGGGAGGAAGCAGGGGGGAAUAUCGGACAAUGGGCGCAAGCCUGUUCCAGCCAUUCCGCGUGAGUGAUGAAGGCCUUAGGGUUGUAAAGCUCUUUCACCGGAGAAGAUAAUGACGGUAUCCGGAGAAGAAGCCCCGGCUAACUGCGUGCCAGCCGCCGCCGUAACAC